rnacentral:lncRNA from 1 species
AUGCCCCUUCCUAGUUGUGAAGGAUUCGUCUCCGAUUCAACUGGUUCUGCACGCGCAGCCGAGGACGGCCACCGCGAGCCAUUUCAUAACCCGGCUCCUCCGGCCCCUGUGACGGGAAUUACCAACCCCUGCCGGGAUGCGGAGGGCCGGGGCUUUUGCUGCGCCCCCAGCGGGGCCGCACACCCGCGUCCCCGACACCCGCGGCUCCCCCCUGCCCGCACCCAGCCCCGCCGCGGCUCCCCGGGGGCUCCCCGGCCCCUCUCCAACCUUUGUCCUCCCGCCGCCGAGGAGCGCAAGGACGCGGGGGCAGCCGCGGUGUCGCCGUGCGGCUGGAAGCGCAGCCCGGCCGCUUCCCCCCCCCCCCCGGGGCCGGGGCCCCCCCCCCCGCGGCCUAGCCGGGCGCAGCCGGCCUCGCCUAGCGAUGCCGCCGGCGGCCUGACAGACGGACAGGCGGCCGGGCGGGCGGACAGACGGACAGGCGGCCGGCCCUGCCCGCGCGCGGCCGUUGGGCGCGUGCCGGGGCUCGGCGCUGAGGGGAGACGAGGGGGGGAUAAGGGGGGAGGGGGGGGGGGGGGGGACUGUGAAGCGCCGCAACCCGCCCGCAGCCUCACCUGGAACGGCGCCGAGGCCAGGCGGUGCUGGCGGUGCCGGCGGCUCCCUGAGGAGCCCGGCGGCCCCCGGGGAAGGGCUGCGAGGCGCCGGGGGUGGGGGGACGGCGGCGCUACAGCGGCCCCCGGGCCAGCCUCCGCCCCAUGGCGUGCGGCGCGGUCUCUAUGGCGACUGCGGGGCCGGGACGGAGCCGGCCCGCCCGCCCGCGGGGAGGGCCGAGGGCUCGGCGCCGAGCCGGGGGCGCUCAGGGGGCUGCGGAGCGGCCCGCGGCCCCCCCCCGCGUUAACCCCCUCGCCGCCGCCAUCCCCGCGGCGCCGCCGCUCGCAGCCCGCCCGCUCCGCCGCCUCCGCCGCCCUUCCUCGGCCGCCGCGCCACCGAGCCCGCUGCCCGCCGGGGCCCGCCCCCUUCCAGCCUCCCGCGGCGCCGAUUGGGCGGCGGCGGAGAUCCCCGCGGGGGGAUUGGCUGGCGGCGGGGUCAAUCACGGGGAGGGAGGAGGACGGGCUUGAGGCGGCGGCGGCGGGGCCGGGGUUGGUUGAGCGGCGCGGAGCCCCGCCGCAGCCGCCCCCGCGCGGUGCUGAGGGGACGGCGGGGCCCGGCCGGGCCGCGGGGCUGCAGCUGGAGCCGCCUCCUCGCCGGCCCCGCUGCCCGGAGCUUGGGGCUCUGAGGAGAAGGGCUCUGUGCUUCGGGGGGCUGCGGCCAGGUGCUCGGCCCCCGAUACGUGCGCGCCGCCACGUACCGGCUGCAGGGGGCCCGGCCGGCAGGGCAGCUGCGUUAGGAGGAGCGGGAUGCGGGUGCCUGCAGCUCGGCACAAAGCAGGGACCCGGCCCUGGGGCUGCCGAGCCAGCCCUGACUGCUGGCACUUGCUCAGGGGCAGCUCCACCAAGGGGCUUCUUCCGUCAGAGAGAGCUAACGUUUCUCCGGCUUGGAAAAAGAAGAAACUGCAUUUCUUAA